UUCCCUCUCACCUCUUCAAUGGGCAGGUCCUGGAGCUGUGGUAAGGAGCAAGACAGGAUGCCAAUAAGGAACGGAGUAGGCUGUUGGCCACAAAGAUUACCCUUCGCUCCAAAAGGAGAGACGCACAGACCCGAAUGAGAUGACACACGCUCAGGCACUUAAAGAGACAUUCAAAGUCCACAUGUUCCAGCCGGGAAUCCAGUGGUCGGCAGAGUUCAACUGACUGCAAUGCAAGAAUCUGAAUCAGGGGAGCUGAUGCAAUGCUAAUGACAGGCCUAAUGGAUCCUGUCAUUCUUUUACAGGUCAAAUUCAAGAAAAGGGCCUGCUACAAAGA